CGGCUCCCACUCUGAUCCCUAGGAAUUGCCCUCCCCUCCACACCCACUUCCAGACAGAGCAGAAGUAUUUUUAUAAGCAGAGAUUUUUUAAAAGUGUCUUACUAGAUAAGAGUUGGGGACACAGAGAAGCAACUGUUGUGAGCAAAGUGGAGCUUGGGGCUCCCUCGCCCGAUCCCAAUGCUGCCCCAUCAGGAAGAGAGAAGGUCCUUUCCAGGAGCAACUCUGCUAAGAAAGGGCAUCCUAUCCUGUUCCUAAGUACCCAGUUGCCAUGGAGAAGAAAUCAGGAGCCCGUAUACUGUGCUUCCCUGGGACUUUGCCCCUAGGAGGGGACACCCAUCAAUGUCACUUUAUGGACCGUGUGCAAUGAUGUCCACCAAAGACCUGUGUUGGGAAUGAGAGAGAGAGAGACCCUGAGGGACCUCUAGAGCAUUUCUGAGAUACAUCACUUUUGUCAACGGCUCCCCUAGUGGGGUUAAGGAAGAAGGCAGGUGCUCCCCAGGGGGAGCCCCUUUCUCACUCACCCAUUCCUCAUGGGCACAGCUGCUUCUGGCUGCAGGUGGAGCCUUAGGGUUCUGGGCUAGGCAUCCACAGUCACUGCCUCAGCCCCUCUAGGCUGUGCCUUUGACUUUAAAAUAAAACUCCACCCAGUGCUGCA
rnacentral:lncRNA from 1 species